AUGGUGUACUUCCAGAUGCAGUCUACGUAUGUCCUGCAAGGUCUUCAUCUCCGCAUCCCAAACAUUUUCCCAGACCUCCCUGCCGAUAGCUCCAUAGCUCUGGGAGCCCAGGGUAGCGGCUACAAGGUGAGACCGGGUAUGCAUUCAGCCCCCGUGAUGGGCCUUGCUGGGCGUGUCCUCUCAAAACAGAAAGAAAUUAAGCUGUUUUCAUGCCCAGGAGCAGGGGAUCAUCAGGAAACAGGAAAAGCACCUGCAGGAUGGGGAAACUUGUGCCCCAGCCCAGGCAUCCUGCUAAGAUGGGGCAGCUUUGCUCCCACCCACCGCUGCUCUGAGGCAGGUCUCACCACCCUGUCUUCAUCCCACAGACUCUCAGAGAGGUGCACCCACAUCCCAGUUCUACCUUGAGUUCCCACACUCUCCGGGGCCCCUGGAUCCCCAGAUGUCUGCCUUCCACCAGGACUUUCCAAACCAGUUCCAUGGUGUUUCAAAGACUCCUAACAUCAAAGAUCCUCAGAGCUGGCAGAGAAAUUACAUUUGCCACCAUACCUUCAUUCCUUGCCUGGGGCAGACAUCACGAAUCAAUCCUGACCAUGUUUUCAUGCUGAGCCUGAGAAUGUUCGCAGCAGCCAUUACCAACUGAUAGAAGCCAGAGGAAACCAUUUGCCACCUCUGAUUUAAUCCCAUCCCCGAUUUAACCCAGCUGAGGAGUGUGCAUUCCAGAGAGGGGAGAGGGCUGACCCUGGGUCACCCAAGGACGGUCUGGAGGCCAGCGCUCCCAACUCCAGCCCACAGCUCCUUCUGCUCUGCUAGCCUGUCUUGCUUGGCCCCCUCUUGUUCAGAUCCCGGAAGCCUGGCUCCUCCUGGCCAAUGUCGUGGUGGUGCUGAUCCUGGUGCCCAUGAAGGACCACUUGCUCGACCCUUUACUGCUGUGGCACAAGCUGCUUCCCUCAGCCCUGCAGAAGAUGGCACUGGGCAUGUUCUUUGGUUUUGCCUCUGUCCUUGUGGCAGGUGUGUGGGCCCAAGUGGAGGGAUGCAGGGAGGGAGGCUGGCCUUUGUCUGCAGUUGGGGGAGGUUGGCUCCACUUUGGCAGGUGUUGGAGCCGUGGGUCUGGGCCACAUCCACCCUCCUGCCGUGGGUGCCAGUCUUGGCUUCCCAGAGGGUGUGAGCUGAAGGGGAUCUUCCUCCUCUGGUCCCCGGCCUCUCCUCAUCUUGACAGAUGAGGGAGCUCAGGACAAGAGAGGGAGAAAGAUUUUCCCCAGUGGGAUGUAAGCUCCCUGAAGACUGGUUUUUUCUUUUUUUUUCUUUUUCAUUCACUGCUAUGAAACUAUGCAUGGACACCCAGUAAAUGGGUUAAAUGAAUUUUUCAGACACUCAGCCACUUAAAGAAAAGAAUUUAUCGUUUUACUCUCUUCCUUCUCGUUCAAAAGGAUUUGAAGCCAUUUACUACAAAGAGGCUCUGGUAAAGAAGCCUUUCAUGCCACGACACAAACCUCUGUCCCUUUCACUCCUGAAGUUACUUAGCAUCUUUGUGCUCUGUCUUUACAAUGGCCGUAGUCAUUCAUGCAGCCCCCGUGCAGGACCUGGGUUCUGCCCUCGUGGAAUGUGGUCUAGCAGGAGUGUUGUGAGGAUUCAAAAAAAGGCAAAGCUGUGAGACAUCCAGCACUGUGCCUGGAUCACAAGGAGGAGGCAGGGAAAUCAAAGCUCAAAGCCCAGUAUUGUGUUGCAAGGAACGAAAACCAAACCAGGUUCUUUUUCAGCUCCGGGCUUUAAGGUACGUUGUCCUAUUUCAUCCUCACAACUCUGGGAUUUUUAUUCUCGCUUCUUGCAUAAGAGCACUGGUUCUUAGAGAGGUUAAGUGAUCUGCCCAAGGUCACCACUAACCAGUGGCAGGGCCAGGAUUGGAACCUAAGUGACCUUGCACCACAUGCAGUGUUCAUGCCACUACGGCACAGCUGUCUUCUAACAAUGACCUCCUAAAACUUGGAGGUCAGGUUAGAAACCCUCCUUGAUGCUGCAGGAGAGAAGUCACGUGAUAUGAAGGAAAUGGGGCACAAAGAGGUGGAAAUCCAGCCCCAAAUACUCAUCAGCUCGUGUGACUCGGGGCUGAUUACUCACUCUAAAUUUCUUUCUUCAUUUGCAAGAAUGCAUAUUAAAUGCCCAGCACAUAACAGGCUCUCAGUUAAUACCAGUUGUUCCUAUUCUUGAGUGCCAAAGCCUCAUUCUGAGCUUCCUAGCAGCCGAGGCAAAAAUCAAGGCGUUUGCCAGAGUUCUCCUUUCCUGCUGUUCAGUCGGUCACCAGUGGCCUAGGGAAUACCCACCACGUGCCGAGCUUUGCUGCGGGCUAAGCUGAGGACCGGGGGCCUGGCUAUUUAUGGUGCACCUGUUUCCCCCACCAGGAGGCCUGGAGAUGGAGCGUCUACAGUACAUCCAUCGCAACCAGUGUCCCAGCAGAUCGGGAAGGAUGUGUACUAGGCGGCACCACUGUCCAUCUGAUGGCAGAUCCCUCAGUACCUGCUCAUCGGGAUCAGUGAGAUUUUUGCCAGUAUCCCAGGUACCCCGGGCCCCUCCCCUGUUCUUGCACCAGUGAUGGGCUCUGCCUGGAGCUGCCUCCAAGUCAAAAAGUCUCAUGGGCACAGCUUCUGGAGUUUGCAGGAGUAGAGGAAGGCCAGGUUUUCUGAGUGCGGCUGCAUUCACCCAGUGGAUACUUACUAGCUCCUGGUCUGUGCCAGGCACUGUGGUAGGCACUGGAGAUUUGGAAGGAUGAAGACGCUCCUUGGCAACCUCCCACAUAGUCCCUGGCACCAUGUGCCUCAUUCCCCAUGUCUGUGCGUUGCUGUUCCCGAUGCCUCGGAUUCAAAGUAAACUUACUUUACUUAAAAUAAACAAAGUAUUUCCCCUUCACUGCUGAGCCUAAAUGCCAGCUCCUCCAUACAGCCCUCUCCAAGCCCCCUGGUCACAGGGGGUCCUUCUAGCUCCUUUUAUUCACAUCUAUCACAGCACACGGGUCACUGUGUUGUAAUAGUGCAGUAUGUUUGUCGCCCCCGCCAGCCUGCGAGCCAGAGCUGUGGAGCGCAGGUGGGCUCUUCACUCAGCCAAGUAGCAGAAGCUACUCAGCCACAGGCCCAGGGCUGGGCUCUAGUGGGACUUGCUCGGAAUUGUGGAGACCAUCACACGGACAGUAAACUCAGUGGAGGGCUGUAGAAGUGACUGGACAGUGUAGGGAAAGCCCCUGGGACGAGGUGGGGAGGAGGCUGGUAGGCAGGGAAGGUGGAACUCCGCAGGUAGGAAGGAUGCCACAGGCGGAAGUGAAGAGCUAAGGCUUGUGGGGAGUGUGUGCAAGGCUGGGGAGGUGUAGGGCCAAGCCUGGGUGUUGAAGUCGUUCCUGAGGGCAAUAGCUGCCACCGCCCCCCAGCCCUCCACCCCAGGGGGAUUUUGGCAGGGAAAGGAUCCCAAUCUUUUAGACAGACCCAUCUGGCUGUGUGAGCAGGAAGAAGGGAGGCAGGGGGGUUUGCAGGUACUUGCAGAGGCUGGGCAGUAAGUGAUCAGGACUGUGCUUUGGCCCAGGGCAGUGGGAACAGAGAGGAGGGCAGACAGUGAGAUUUCUGAGGUUGG
rnacentral:lncRNA from 1 species